ensembl:snoRNA small nucleolar RNA SNORA28
AAGCAACACCCUGGCAGAUGAUCAAAACUGUCUGACGCAAUUUGAGCUUGCCAUAGCAACGAAGUCUAACCUAUCCCCGUGCACUCUCCUCUACGAGACAAGGCCUUACAUAGACACAGACAGU